rnacentral:lncRNA from 1 species
UCAGAGAUUGGUGUUACCAGUGUCCGAAAUCCAUGGAAGAAGAUCAGGUUAUACUCAACAACAUUCGGUGGAUCAUGGCAUUCUUUUCAUCCGGCUCUGUUGCAUCUCAGUCGUUGCGACGGCAGGUGCAAAGGUGAAUCGCAGGUUAUAGGAAAGUGAUGAUAACAUGUGUAUGAAGAAACUGUUUUCUCCGAGAGUAGCGCUGAUGGACUGAAACUUGCUUUGACAGCUUAUUGCAGUGAUAGUUCUAAUGAACUUCUAAAUGAUAUUGUGCAGUUUCUAUUUCUGUUGAUGUCUGUGAAGGAAAAUCUGAAAUGAAAAUCUCAGAAGCGGCGAGUGAUUUGCUGGUUGUGCUUCCAGGUAAUGGAACCAUUCUUAAAUUUCUACCAUGCACUUUAUCUCUGUUUGUACAACCUGAUUGGCUUUGACCAGCAUAUUGAAGAUUCUUCACACAUGUUAAUAUUUUCCUCCUUCAAAUGACGAGAUAGUAGCAGUUAUAUGGACGAAGGGAGAAUCAUUAUGUAGGUUGUGAAAGAAAAAGGUAGUGUGUGAAAACCGAAGAACCAGAACUUUCAAUGUCGUGGUUGAAUUGUGGGGCAUAAAAUUGUUUUAUUUGGAGCUACCAUCCUGUUUGAAAACUGUAAUUAGGAGUCCGGGCUGAGCUAAUUGUGUUGUGUUUGUGAUUGCUGAAGGGUGGCUGGUAGGACAUCAUGACAUGUAUUGUGCACAACUAACUCUACAAUUAGGACUCAUGUGAAGUUGAUGUCUUUGAUCGUCUUUGAUAUUGUUCGUGAUGUGCACAGAAAGCUCAAAAAAGUAUCAACCAGGACUACGUAAGAGUUGUUCUCUAAACGCUUAAGAGCCUUAACGAGUAAGUCGGGAUUAGUUAUAUUGGAGUGAAUGGCCUUCAUUUUAUAUUUAUUUACUUAUUUUGUUUUCUUCUUGAACUGCAGUAUGGUGGAAAAUAAAUAAAUAAAUAAAACCCAACUUAAGAUAUGAAUUUGGAGUACUUGUGAUACAAUACUAUUGUUUCUUCAUGACAGGGCCUGCUGUGAACAUGAUUGUCACAUAAUGUUUUAUGUGAAGCAAACAAAAGUAACACUUUUUUGACAAUUGCUUCAAAAGAUUGGAAAUAAAAUAUUAUAGUAUUUAUGGUUUUUAAAUGUA